rnacentral:rRNA from 1 species
GACGAACGCUGGCGGCGUGCCUAAUACAUGCAAGUCGAGCGAUGAAGGAGAUACUGGUAUCUUCUGAAGAGCGGCGAACGGGUGAGUAACGCGUGGGGAAUCUGCCAAUGAGUGGGGAACAACAUUUGGAAACGAAUGCUAAUACCGCAUAAAAUCUAUUGAGACAUCUCAAGAGAUUGAAAGGAACAAUUGUUUCGCUUGGUGAUGAUCCCGCGUUGUAUUAGCGAGUUGGUGAGGUAAUGGCUCACCAAGGCGAUGACACAUAACCGACCUGAGAGGGUGAUCGGUCACAUUGGGACUGAGACACGGCCCAAACUCCUACGGGAGGCAGCAGUAGGGAAUCUUCGGCAAUGGACGAAAGUCUGACCGAGCAACGCCGCGUGAGUGAAGAAGGCCUUCGGGUUGUAAAGCACUUUUGGGCGGAAAGAAAUGGCUCUGGUUAAUACCUGGGGUCGAUGACGGUACCGGAAGAAUAAGGACCGGCUAACUACGUGCCAGCCGCCGCCGUAA